rnacentral:rRNA from 1 species
GUGCCAGCAGCCGCGGUAAUACCGGCAGCCCGAGUGAUGGCCGAUCUUAUUGGGCCUAAAGCGUCCGUAGCUGGCCGCGCAAGUCCAUCGGAAAAUCCACCCGCCCAACGGGUGGGCGUCCGGUAGAAACUGGCCGGCUUGGAACCGGAAGGCUCAGAGAGUACGUCCGGGGUAGGAGUGAAAUCCCGUAAUCCCGGACGGACUACCGAUGGCGAAAGCACUCUGAGAAGACGGCUUCGACAGUGAGGGACGAAAGCCAGGGUCUCGAACCGGAUUAGAAACCCGAGUAGUCC